rnacentral:rRNA from 1 species
UACGAGAGGCCCAAACGUUUAUUCGGAUUUACUGGGCUUAAAGAGUUCGUAGGCGGUGCAGAAAGUGGGGUGUGAAAGCCCUCGGCUCAACCGAGGAAUUGCGCUCCAAAUCUACUGUACUAGAGGAAGCUAGAGGUGAGCAGAACAGAUGGUGGAGCGGUGAAAUGCGUUGAUAUCAUCUGGAAUACCGGAGGCGAAGGCGGCUCACUGGGCUUUCUGACGCUG